UUCAGCCUUUAUUAAAAACUGGAGUGAGGUUAGUGCCAGUAAACCAGUGACGAGUUGGCAGUUCAGGAAAAAAUUGGGAGAAGUGUUGAUAAACUAAUGAAUAGCCAUCCUUUAUGGCCAGCUUAGUGGUUAUGGAUGCCCCGACUUGAGCUGCGCAUUUUGCAAAGAAGUCUGCCCUUUCAUUAGCAGGAAUACCAAUAUGUGAAGGAGUCCAAAUAAAGGUUAUGAGUCGUCUGUGGGGACUGUGAUUCUGGUUCCUGUUAAUAAACUGCUUGCUGCUAAUGGGAUCAGUGACUGCUGGAAACUUUUUAAUACAUUUAAUCCUUCUGUGCUGUUAAGAGAUAGAAACUAUCUUGGUUGAAGGUGGGCUUGGAAGGCGAUAUUUGGAUUGGAUCGGCAAUGGCAUGACGUAUUUGAAUUCUGGGUGAAGCAACUUGGCUAUAUUUUGUUUUUGUAACUCUUUUGUUUAUUUCUUCAUAAACACUUCUUUUUGG